rnacentral:tRNA from 1 species
GCCCUGAUGGCCUAGUGGUUAAGAUUCGGCGUUCUCACCGCAUUGGCCUGGGUUCAUUUCCCGGUCAGGGGA